rnacentral:tRNA from 1 species
ACCAAACAACUACACCUAGAGAGAGAGGACUUGAACCUCUAUCUAAGAGUCCAAAACUCUACGUAUGCCCAACUAUACUUCCCCCUA